rnacentral:lncRNA from 1 species
UUUCCUAGCUCCAACAAAAAUCUCUCAACCUAACAAAUGGGUGCCUAAUCCCCAAGGCUUGGCCUGACAACUAGCCAUCUCUCAUAUACAUAGGCACUUGGCUAUUUCUCAAGUUGCCUUUACAUAAAGUACGCAACCCAAAUACCCUCAUGCGGUGGCGAAGAUUGUCAUUGUGUUCACCAUCGGAUCAUAUGCCGAGCUGAUGGUGAAAACAUUUAUAACCAUCGGUAAGGCACCCUUUUGAGACCCCUCAGACUAUGAACUAGCGAAGAAAGUUCAAGCGGUGAUUAAACUUUUUGCAGUAGUGAUUGGGUAUCUCCCUCCAUGCAUAUCUCAUUCUAUACAAGGUUUUGUGAAUGGUGAAACUGGCCACAUUGUAUUUGUCACUUGCAAAUUUUCAGAACUAUGCGCAGACCUUAAAACAAGUGUAUCCACUGUUGCAUAACUCUCCCUCUCUUCCUAGCACGAUUGGUUUAUUGCUUGAGUAUUGCUCUCGUGAACCUCCCAAAGAAAUUUGUACCCAUCUUAAAGCAACUUAAUCACACUAUAAAAGAGUGAACCUUUCUGAGGGGGAUUUUCCUCUAUAAUAACCGUUCGAUCUAAACGUCAUGCUAUAUGAGGUCUCCCGUCAUGCUAGAUCUUACUCUUCUUCUAUAACAACUGUUUGAUCCACACAUCGUGCAAUAUGAGCCUUCGGUUAUCCCUAAUCUUACAUGUAAGACAUAAAUCUCCUAUUCAAUCUCAAAUAUGUCUCACAGUAUAAGACUUUUUAAACUGGGACUCCUAUUCCAAAUAAUCUGUUUUUUUUUUGUAUUUUUUUAGAAAGGUAUGUUAGACUUUUUGGACUGGGAUUCUUAUUCUAAAUAAUCUGAUUAUUUCUUUCCAUAUUUUUUUGGGAAACUUUUUCCUUCCGUGCGUAUAAGGUCCGCUCGGCUUCCCAUACAAAUUAAAGGCCCCUCAGACAGAAUCCUUCUCCGAUCCAAUGUUGCUCUUCCACGUCCUUACGUUUUUUCUUUACCUUCUUUUGGUUUCCGUCUAAACUUAUUAUAUACGUAUUUGACCCAUUAAGCCUUUCAUCAUAAAUAAAUAUUUUAAUCACUAAUUGUUGAUAUAAUUUUAAUUAGUAAUAGAACUUAUUAUUUUUUUGAGAGAACAGGAGAGGUAAAGGACCUCUACUGAAAUUUAUUAGAGCAAAACACAAAACAGAGAAAGAGAGUUACAAAGAUUACAAAAAGGUUACACAAAAGCACAUGGAACUGAUUCAAGAGACAGAAAAAGAAACUAAGAAAAUUGACUUAAUUACACAAUUUGCUCUAGCCAUAAUUCUAUUUGGGGGGAAGUACUUUUUCUUCACUUUCCAAAGGAGUUGCUUGAAGAAACUAAGAGUUGAAGGCCCCGAAGACUGCUAGCUAGGAUUCCUCUAAAAUUGCAUCAUUUCUGACAGACGAGAUGCUACAGCACAUAAUAAUGAUCACCUCCAUGAAGAAACUCUUGCCAAUUCGGGUUCUGAAACUUUCAAACCUCUGAACCAUGCAUGCGAACUGAUCACAGUUAGACCAAUCAGCGCCCAACAAUCUCUUGCAAAGCCACACUCCAAGAACAGAUGGUCCACAGAUUCCUCAACAUUUUCUCCACAAAGCACACAAGAAUAAGAAGGGAAGAACAUAUGUUUUCUUCUCAGCAAAUUCCUGGUGCUGACUCUGUCUUGAAGAACAAGCCAAAAAAAACACCUUGUGCUUCGGCUAGCA